CCUACGGGUGGCUGCAGUGAGGGAUAUUGGUCAAUGGGGGAAACCCUGAACCAGCAACGCCGCGUGAGGGAAGACGGUUUUCGGAUUGUAAACCUCUGUCCUCUGUGAAGAUAAUGACGGUAACAGAGGAGAAAGCCCCGGCUAACGACGUGCCAGCAGCCGCGGUAAUACGUAGGGGGCGAGCGUUAUCCGGAUUCACUGGGUGUAAAGGGAGCGUAGACGGCCAUGCAAGCCAGGGGUGAAAGCCCGGGGCCCAACCCUGGGACUGCGCUUGGAACUGCAUGGCUGGAGUGCGGGAGGGGUAGGAGGAAUUCCUGGUGUAGCGGUGAAAUGCGUAGAUAUGAGGAGGAACACCGGUGGCGAAGGCGGCUUGCUGGACCGAGACUGACGUUGAGGCUCGAAAGCGUGGGGAGCGAACAGGAUUAGAUACCCGUGUAGUC
rnacentral:rRNA from 1 species